rnacentral:rRNA from 1 species
CACAAGCGGAGGAGCAUGUGGUUUAAUUCGAUGAUACGCGAGGAACCUUACCUGGGCUCGAACGUAAGAUGACUGUAGGUGAAAGCUUACAUCUCUUCGGAGCAUUUUACGAGGUGCUGCAUGGUUGUCGUCAGCUCGUGCCGUGAGGUGUCGGGUUAAGUCCCAUAACGAGCGCAACCCUACCUUUAGUUGCCAUCAGGGUAAUGCUGGGGACUCUAAAGGAACUGCCUACGCAAGUAGUGAGGAAGGCGGGGAUGACGUCAAAUCAGCACGGCCCUUACGUCCAGGGCUACACACGUGCUACAAUGGCCGAUACAGAGGGCAGCUACCUGGUGACAGGAUGCAAAUCUCCAAAGUCGGUCUCAGUUCGGAUCGGAGUCUGCAACCCGACUCCGUGAAGUUGGAUUCGCUAGUAAUCGCGCAUCAGCCAUGGCGCGGUGAAUACGUUCCCGGGCCUU